rnacentral:rRNA from 1 species
GACGAACGCUGGCGGCGUGCUUAACACAUGCAAGUCGAACGGAAAGGCCUUCUUUCCCUUGUGUAUUGCGGGUACUCGAGUGGCUAACGGGUGAGUAACACGUGAGUGAUCUUCCCCCAACUUUGCUAUAAGCUUGGGAAACUGCCUCUAAUUCCCUAUCGCACUGCAGUGUGGUUCCUGUGGUUGAAAACGAUUGUCUAGUAGUUGGGGAUGAGCUCCCGGCCUAUCAGGUGGUUGGUGGGGUAAUGGCCUACCAAUUCGGCGACGGGUAGCCUGCCUGGGAGAGUGGGCGGGCAAAGUUGAACUGCGAUACGGCCAAGGCGACUACGGGAGGCAGCAGUGGGGAAGCAUGCACGAGGGGCGGAAGCCUAAGGCAGCGACGCCGCGUGAGGAAUGACGGCUGUCGGGUUGUGGACUUCGGGCGACAGCGAGGAAGCCCCCUGGUUGGAAGGGUGGUGACGGUAGUGGUAGAAGAAGCACCGGCUAACUACGUG